rnacentral:rRNA from 1 species
ACGGGUGAGUAACACGUGGGCAACCUGCCCUUGAGACUGGGAUAACUUCGGGAAACCGGAGCUAAUACCGGAUAAUACAAGGAACCUCCUGGUUCCUUGUUGAAAGAUGGUUUCGGCUAUCACUUAAGGAUGGGCCCGCGGCGCAUUAGCUAGUUGGUGAGGUAACGGCUCACCAAGGCGACGAUGCGUAGCCGACCUGAGAGGGUGAUCGGCCACACUGGGACUGAGACACGGCCCAGACUCCUACGGGAGGCAGCAGUAGGGAAUCUUCCACAAUGGACGAAAGUCUGAUGGAGCAACGCCGCGUGAGUGAUGAAGGCCUUCGGGUCGUAAAGCUCUGUUGUUAGGGAAGAACAAGUGCGUGAGUAACUGCUCGCACCUUGACGGUACCUAACCAGAAAGCCACGGCUAACUACGUGCCAGCAGCCGCGGUAAUACGUAGGUGGCAAGCGUUAUCCGGAAUUAUUGGGCGUAAAGCGCGCGCAGGUGGUUUCUUAAGUCUGAUGUGAAAGCCCACGGCUCAACCGUGGAGGGUCAUUGGAAACUGGGGAACUUGAGUGCAGAAGAGGAAAGUGGAAUUCCA